rnacentral:rRNA from 1 species
AGAGUUUGAUUCCUGGCUCAGGACGAACGCUGGCGGCGUGCCUAAUACAUGCAAGUUGAACGAUGAUUUCUGGUACUUGUAUCAGAAUGAAGAGUAGCGAACGGGUGAGUAACGCGUGGGUAACCUACCUCUUAGCGGGGGACAACUAUUGGAAACGAUAGCUAAUACCGCAUAACAAUGCUUAACACAUGUUGAGUAUUUGAAAGUACCAAUUGGUACACUAGGAGAUGGACCCGCGUUGUAUUAGCUAGUUGGUAGUGUAAUGGACUACCAAGGCGAUGAUACAUAGCCGACCUGAGAGGGUGAUCGGCCACAUUGGGACUGAGACACGGCCCAAACUCCUACGGGAGGCAGCAGUAGGGAAUCUUCGGCAAUGGACGAAAGUCUGACCGAGCAACGCCGCGUGAGUGAAGAAGGUUUUCGGAUCGUAAAGCUCUGUUGUUAGAGAAGAACGUUGUGUAGAGUGGAAAAUUACACAAGUGACGGUAUCUAACCAGAAAGGGACGGCUAACUACGUGCCAGCAGCCGCGGUAAUACGUAGGUCCCGAGCGUUGUCCGGAUUUAUUGGGCGUAAAGCGAGCGCAGGUGGUUUAAUAAGUCUGAUGUAAAAGGCAGUGGCUCAACCAUUGUGUGCAUUGGAAACUGUUAGACUUGAGUGCAGUAGAGGAGAGUGGAAUUCCAUGUGUAGCGGUGAAAUGCGUAGAUAUAUGGAGGAACACCGGUGGCGAAAGCGGCUCUCUGGACUGUAACUGACACUGAGGCUCGAAAGCGUGGGUAGCAAACAGGAUUAGAUACCCUGGUAGUCCACGCCGUAAACGAUGAGUGCUAGUUGUUUGGGGCUAUCCAGCCCUAAGUGACGCAGCAAACGCAUUAAGCACUCCGCCUGGGGGAGUACGACCGCAAGGUUGAAACUCAAGGAAUUGACGGGGGCCCGCACAAGCGGUGGAGCAUGUGGUUUAAUUCGAGCAACGCGAAGAACCUUACCAGGUCUUGACAUACCAGUGCUAUUCUUAGAAGAUAAGAAGCUACUCGUACACUGGAUACAGGUGGUGCAUGUGGUCGUCAGCUCGUGUCCUGAGAAUGUUGGGUCUAAGUUCCCGCAACGGAGCGC